GCAACUUGCACCUUAGCCUAGAAAAGCCAC
rnacentral:piRNA from 1 species